GUGCCAGCCGCCGCGGUAAUACGGAGGGUGCAAGCGUUAAUCGGAAUUACUGGGCGUAAAGCGCUCGUAGGCGGUUUGUUAAGUCGGAUGUGAAAGCCCCGGGCUCAACCUGGGAACUGCAUUCGAUACUGGCAGACUAGAGUAUAGUAGAGGCAAGUGGAAUUCCGGGUGUAGCGGUGAAAUGCGUAGAUAUCCGGAGGAACAUCAGUGGCGAAGGCGACUUGCUGGACUAAUACUGACGCUGAGGAGCGAAAGCGUGGGGAGCAAACGGGAUUAGAAACCCCGGUAGUCC
rnacentral:rRNA from 1 species